rnacentral:ncRNA from 1 species
AGAUUUCUGUGAAGAAUGAUAGUAGUUUAGAAUAAUUAUUUAAGAGACUUAGUGGUUGGUGGGAACUAAGAUAAUGUUUUAGAUGAAAUACACAUUGGGAGAAAGAAUCGUGUUAGAGCGUUAAUCUAUUAAGAGCAUAGUUUCUAUGAAAUAAGGUGGUACCGCGGAUGAUAUCCGUCCUUAUA